AUAGCGUAUAUUAAAGUUGUUGCAGUUAAAAAGCUCGUAGUUGAACCUUGGGCCUGGCUGGCCGGUCCGCCUCACCGCGUGUACUGGUCCGGCCGGGCCUUUCCUUCUGGGGAACCUCAUGCCCUUCACUGGGGGUGUUGGGGAACCAGGACUUUUACUUUGAAAAAAUUAGAGUGUUCAAAGCAGGCCUUUGCUCGAAUACAUUAGCAUGGAAUAAUAAAAUAGGACGUGUGGUUUUAUUUUGUUGGUUUCUAGAACCGCCGUAAUGAUUAAUAGGGAUAGUCGGGGGCAUCAGUAUUCAAUCGUCAGAGGUGAAAUUCUUGGAUUGAUUGAAGACUAACUACUG
rnacentral:rRNA from 1 species